CACCGCGGUUACACGUGAGACCCAAGUUGACAGUUUUCGGCGUAAAGAGUGGUUAAGGACAAUUAUAAACUAAAGUAGCACUCCAUCCACACUGUUAUACGUCUUGAUGGACAGAAAAUCACCUACGAAAGUGACUUUACAUACACCUGACCCCACGAAAGCUAUGGAA
rnacentral:rRNA from 1 species